rnacentral:rRNA from 1 species
CACAUGCAAGUCGAGGGGCAGCAUGGUCUUAGCUUGCUAAGGCCGAUGGCGACCGGCGCACGGGUGAGUAACACGUAUCCAACCUGCCGUCUACUCUUGGACAGCCUUCUGAAAGGAAGAUUAAUACAAGAUGGCAUCAUGAGUCCGCAUGUUCACAUGAUUAAAGGUAUUCCGGUAGACGAUGGGGAUGCGUUCCAUUAGAUAGUAGGCGGGGUAACGGCCCACCUAGUCUUCGAUGGAUAGGGGUUCUGAGAGGAAGGUCCCCCACAUUGGAACUGAGACACGGUCCAAACUCCUACGGGAGGCAGCAGUGAGGAAUAUUGGUCAAUGGGCGAGAGCCUGAACCAGCCAAGUAGCGUGAAGGAUGACUGCCCUAUGGGUUGUAAACUUCUUUUAUAAAGGAAUAAAGUCGGGUAUGGAUACCCGUUUGCAUGUACUUUAUGAAUAAGGAUCGGCUAACUCCGUGCCAGCAGCCGCGGUAAUACGGAGGAUCCGAGCGUUAUCCGGAUUUAUUGGGUUUAAAGGGAGCGUAGAUGGAUGUUUAAGUCAGUUGUGAAAGUUUGCGGCUCAACCGUAAAAUUGCAGUUGAUACUGGAUAUCUUGAGUGCAGUUGAGGCAGGCGGAAUUCGUGGUGUAGCGGUGAAAUGCUUAGAUAUCACGAAGAACUCCGAUUGCGAAGGCAGCCUGCUAAGCUGCAACUGACAUUGAGGCUCGAAAGUGUGGGUAUCAAACAGGAUUAGAUACCCUGGUAGUCCACACGGUAAACGAUGAAUACUCGCUGUUUGCGAUAUACUGCAAGCGGCCAAGCGAAAGCGUUAAGUAUUCCACCUGGGGAGUACGCCGGCAACGGUGAAACUCAGAGGAAUUGACGGGGGCCCGCACAAGCGGAGGAACAUGUGG